UACGGGGGGGGCAAGCGUUGUUCGGAAUUACUGGGCGUAAAGGGUUUGUAGGUGGCUUGUUAAGUCAGACGUGAAAUCCCUCAGCUUAACUGGGGAACUGCGUCUGAGACUGGUGAGCUUGAGUGCAGGAGAGGAACGCGGAAUUCCAGGUGUAGCGGUGAAAUGCGUAGAUAUCAGGAGGAACACCGGUGGCGAAGGCGGCUUCCUGGACCACAACUGACGCUGAGGCGCGAAAGCUAGGGGAGCAAACAGG
rnacentral:rRNA from 1 species